rnacentral:rRNA from 1 species
ACGGAGGAUCCAAGCGUUAUCCGGAUUUACUGGGUUUAAAGGGUGCGUAGGCGGAUUGAUAAGUCAGUGGUGAAAGCCUAUAGCUUAACUGUAGAACUGCCAUUGAUACUGCCAGUCUGGAGUAUGGUUGAGGUAGCUGGAAUGUGUCAUGUAGCGGUGAAAUGCUUAGAGAUGACGCGGAACACCAACGGCGAAGGCAGGUUACCAACCCAUUACUGACGCUGAGGCACGAAAGCGUGGGGAUCAAACAG